rnacentral:misc_RNA from 1 species
AAGUCGUAACAAGGUUUCCGUAGGUGAACCUGCGGAAGGAUCAUUAACGAAGUAAUUAACAAUUCUUCUUAAUUCAAACCCCUGUGAACCGUCGUCCUUAGGACGCUUUAUAUACAAACUCUAGUGUUGUCUAUGUAUGUCUUUGUUUAAUCAUAACAAAAUAUAACUUUUAACAACGGAUCUCUUGGCUCUC